rnacentral:rRNA from 1 species
CCUACGGGGGGCAGCAGUGGGGAAUAUUGGACAAUGGGGGGAGCCCUGAUCCAGCGACGCCGCGUGAGUGAAGAAGUAUUUCGGUAUGUAAAGCUCUAUCCGCAGGGAAGAAAAUGACGGUACCUGACCAAGAAGCCCCGGCUAACUACGUGCCAGCAGCCGCGGUAAUACGUAGGGGGCAAGCGUUAUCCGGAUUUACUGGGUGUAAAGGGAGCGUAGACGGCCAUGCAAGUCUGAUGUGAAAACCCGGGGCUCAACCCCGGGACUGCAUUGGAAACUGUGCGGCUGGAGUGUCGGAGAGGCAA